rnacentral:rRNA from 1 species
AGCGAACGCUGGCGGCAUGCCUAACACAUGCAAGUCGCACGGGGGGGCUUCGGCCUCCCAGUGGCGGACGGGUGAGGAACGCGUAGGGACCUGUCGAGGGGUGGGGGAUAACCGCGGGAAACUGCGGCUAAUACCGCAUGACGCCGCGGCGUGACAGCCGGGGCCAAAGGCGAAAGCCGCCCGCCGAGGGGCCUGCGUCCGAUUAGCUGGUUGGCGGGGUAGCGGCCCACCAAGGCGUCGAUCGGUAGCUGGUCUGAGAGGGUGAUCAGCCACACCGGGAAUGAGACACGGCCCGGACUCCUACGGGAGGCAGCAGUGGGGAAUAUUGGACAAUGGGCGCAAGCCUGAUCCAGCAAUGCCGCGUGGGUGAAGAAGGUCUUCGGAUUGUAAAGCCCUUUCGGCGGGGACGAUGGUGACGGUACCCGCAGAAGAAGCCCCGGCUAACUUCGUG